rnacentral:rRNA from 1 species
AUUGAACGCUGGCGGCAGGCCUAACACAUGCAAGUCGAGCGGAGCGGCGGACGGGUGAGUAAUGCCUCGGAAUCUGCCUGGUAGUGGGGGAUCACGUCCGGAAACGGGCGCUAAUACCGCCUACUAUCAGAUCAGCCUAGGUCGGAUUAGCUAGUUGGUGGGGUAACGGCCUACAAAGGCGCCGAUCCGUACCUGGUCUGAGAGGAUGAUCAGUCACACUGGAACUGAGACACGGUCCAGACUCCUACGGGAGGCAGCAGGGGGGAAUAUUGGACAAUGGGCGAAAGCCGGAUCCAGCCAUGCCGCGUGUGUGAAGAAGGUCUUCGGAGUGUAAAGCACGUUAAGUAGGGAGGCGUUACCAACAGAAUAAGCACCGGCUAACUUCGUGCCAGCAGCCGCGGUAAUAC